UCCCUGGAGGACUAGUGGUUAGGCCACAGUGCUCUGCCCACUAUGGCCUGGGUUCAAUUCCCAGCCAGGGAA